rnacentral:rRNA from 1 species
CCUACGGGGGGCAGCAGUGAGGAAUAUUGGUCAAUGGGCGAGAGCCUGAACCAGCCAAGUCGCGUGAAGGAUGACUGUCUUAUGGAUUGUAAACUUCUUUUGUAGGGGAAUAAAGAAUGGUACGUGUACCAUAGUGAAUGUACCCUACGAAUAAGCAUCGGCUAACUCCGUGCCAGCAGCCGCGGUAAUACGGAGGAUGCGAGCGUUAUCCGGAUUUAUUGGGUUUAAAGGGUGCGUAGGCGGCCUGUUAAGUCAGCGGUGAAAUCUAGGGGCUUAACUCCUAAAUUGCCAUUGAUACUGGUGGGCUUGAGUGUAGAUGAGGUAGGCGGAAUGCGUGGUGUAGCGGUGGAAUGCAUAGAUAUCACGCAGAACUCCAAUUGCGAAGGCAGCUUACUAAGGUACAACUGACGCUGAAGCACGAAAGCGUGGGUAUCAAACAGGAUUAGAUACCCGAGUAGUC